AUCCAGCAAUCAUGGCUGCGCCGCCCGCACGCUCCGCUGUUGUUCCAGAGGAAGAGAUGUGGCCCUUCCACCUCCUGCUCUGUUUCAGGAUCAGCAGCACCUCGGUGGCAUCCAAUCUCUGCAUGUCACACCACCGGAGUUAACAGCAGUGGUAUUAAGAGUGGGAAUGAGCCUGAUGAUAAUGACUGUAAUGGACAAGGUGUCAAAAUCCGGAUACUCCUCUGCACCACCCGCUGCCUUUGAAUGCAUCAGAACCUCACCGCGCUGCACUGUGCUGCGCGCUCCUUGGUGAUGCAUUGAGCCCUUUAACUCCUUUCCCAUGGCCAGAAAAUAACUCCCACGGAGGUUCCCCCAUCCCCCAGGGCUGUGAGCUGUGGGUUUGGGCUGUAAGACGUGGAGGCCGAGUCUCUGCUUAUCCAGGAGCUGAAGGCAGAGGGGCAAAAAGUCUCCCUCUGUGCACCAAACCCCACUUCUCGCCCUGCUCACAUCCUAACAGAAACUCACUGCUGGGGUAGCCCAAGGAACAAAGGGAUCCCAAAGGAACAGCUCUGCUCAGUCAGGAUGCUCGGGAGAGCAAAAGGAGCCCUCGGCUGUCAGAAUGGAGGGUUGAAUCCGAGCUCGUGUUUUGUUAGAAUAAAACAUCUCAUG
rnacentral:lncRNA from 7 species